CCUCCUCGCUCUCCACUAAGAAUUUCAUGUCCCCGCCACCAACCAAAGGUUCAGCCACUAAUUGGACACUUGAGUCCGGUCCAACCACAACUGUCUUACCAAUUUUGUCAACUGCGUAAGGUUGCCCUUUGAAAAGGCAGAUGUCUCCGAAUUUCGUUGACAUGUCAGGUAUCACCUUCCAUUUCUCAUCACCACAUUUCACAAGUAAUGGCUGUGGGGGAGAGGUUAACGUGCCAACAAUGAGAGGUUUUUUCCCAUGGCACGUAACAACAACGACCUUUUUAGGGUACAUGUAAUAGUCGGGGUUGUAGAGUUUAUCGUUGAAUGUGAAGUCAAAGUCUAUCAUGAAGAAGUUGCUUCCCAAAUGGAGGAUGGAUAAUUUGUUGAAGUCGAGCACGAAAUUGUACAGAAAUUUAUCGCCAUUUUGUAAGAGUGGGUGGUAUAAUUUGGAUUUGCCGCGUGCAUUUUGACAAAUUCUUAUCAACGAAGGGCGUAGGUUUAGGGUUUGUUCUUGCUGUGGUGGUUUGAUGAGGAAGAUAUUUUGUUUGGUUAUGUAACAAAAUGACUUGUUCCUGUUGAUAAAAUCAGGGUUGAAUGGAAAUUUAAGGAGUGGGAACUGGAAGCGAAAAUUGCGAUGAUGCUUUGGGACGGAGGAAGAGCGCCAGGUUGAACAAACUGAUCGGAAGUGAAUGAGAUCAACUUCUUCGUAGAUUCGUUGUGAUAUCAUAUAAGCAGAACAUAUAAGCAGAAACAAAAGUUAUAAGCAGAAGCUACAAACAAUUAAAAUAAGCAAAACCUAUAAGCAGAAUCAGAAGUUAUAAACAAUUAAAAGCUAUAAGCAAAAACUAAAAACAGAAGUUGAAAACAGUUAGAAACUAUAAACAAUUAGAAGUAAAAGCUAUAAGUAGAAACAGAAAAGCUAUAAGAAGCGAAAAUUUAAGGAAAAGACACGAGCUACCUCACACGAUGAAGGGGUUAAAGAAACUCGCCGGAGUAUAGAUCGCACAAAGAGAAUGGCUGCCGGAGGAGGGUUCGCCGGCGCCGGAGAUAGAAGAAAUCGAUUUGGGGGUUAGGGCCGUGUUGAAGAAUAAAAAAGGACAAAAUUUAAGUACAAUUCUUUAACUGCUUUUAACUAAAAAUACAAUUUUUUUUAGAUAUAACAUUUGAGAGAAUUAUGGAUUUAAAGAAAUAUUAAGAACUAUAUCAAAAACACCGAAUUGCACUAAGUUUUUUCAAUAAAAUUUUCAAAAAGAUUUUUGUCUUAUUAUUAUUUAUAAAAGUUUUAAUCUGUAGUAUUUUUUUUAGAUGAAGUGGUAAUACACUGAAAUUAAACUCACAUAAAAUUAUGAGGUUUCGGGUUCGAAUCCGGAUCUUAUUAAUUGAAAAUAAAAAUAAAAAUGUGGAAACAUAUUUCAGUCGAUAAGGUCAAUGUAUGGUAAAUCGUAACAUAUAAUGGUUGGGUUCUAAUUUCUACACUUCACUUAUAUACGUCGAGUUCUUUUUUUUUUUUUUAAGAAAUCAAAAUGAAAUAUAUUAACAAUGGCCGUGUAACACUCCUAGGUACAAGAUGUACCAAAGAAGCCACCCCGAGAUCAAACAGUCAUACAAAAAUUAUCAAUAGUCAGUCGAUACCCAAACAUUAUAAAAGAUCUGACCACCAAUUAUGAGAGCCAUACACAAACAUAAUAUUAUGAGCCUUUAGCCACCAUAAAAAAUGAUAUUUUACCUUUUCUAAUAAGUAAUCAAUAGAUGUUUCUGUAUUAUAUACAUUGAGUUCUAAUCGCAAAUCUAUUUGAUAAUUAAAAAAUAAAAACUGAUUAUUAAAACAAGGAUUUCCUUAAAAAAAAAAAAAAAAAGGUCUCGUUAACGAACGUUUUCGAGAUACUUUUAAAAAUUUUAAAUUAUCUUUAAAAAAAAAAAAUUAAGAAAUUAUUUCUUUAACAAGUAAAAUGCAUUAAUUUUUAUUGAGUUAAAUACACAAAUUUUUAUAAAAAGUUACAAUUAAAGUGCUUAAAAAUUGUUUAGGGUACUCGUUAGCAUUUAUUUAAAAGAAAUCAAUGACAUAAAUACAACUUUUUUUUUUAUCAAACGUUACAUGAGGAUAGUUUAAUCGGUAAGGUUUUUUCUCUUGAUAUUGUUUCUUUGUAUGUUGGUAGUAGUCUUUUAAGCACAUCUUGUGCUAAGAGAUUGCUAUUGUUUUUGGUAAUAUAAUUUCAUUUUGGUUUGUUCAAAAAAAAGUUUAAUCGAUAAGGAUAUUGAAAUAUGCAUGGACCAAUCAAGGGUUUGAACCUGAAUAAUAGUAGGUGAAAUUUUAGCUACUUUAUUACUUUGACAAAAAAAAAAAAAAAAAAAACUUCAGCCUUUUCAAUUAAUAUUUUACACUAGCAAUUAAUAUUUUUUUACUGAGCCCAUUAAAAUUAUUAUAUCUUAAAUAAGUAAUAAUAUAAAAACGUAUCCCUUACUCCUUAAUGUUAUUAGGUUUGCAACCACUAAACCCUAAUUAUUUCCCUCUAAAUCUAUUGUAUUAAAUGUUGUUAGUGAUAAUCCUAAAAAAUUUCCUCUAAAGCCAAAUAUUUGAAUUUCUAAAUAAAUCCCAAGAAUUGAGGGAAAAAAAUCUGAUGAUAGGAAUUAGAGAAAAAUUCUCCUUAUUUUCCUCCAAUUUUUAAAGUGUCAUCUUGAUACAAUGAACUGCAUUAAUUUUCAACUAUUGCCAUCUCACAUUGAAAACACAAAACUAAACUCUCCACUCAUCAUAUCUGUUUGUUUCCCACACAUAUGCACAUGUUACAACACAAAAUUAUUCUUCUUCUCUAUCAAUUGUUCUUUCUCUCUCAUUCUCACUUCUCCUCUCUCAAUCUCUUCUCUCUCAACAAAACUGUUUCUAUUCUCUUCUUCAUCUCCUUCAUAGAACAACAAUUAAAUAACGUUGGAUUCUUUAGAUUUGCAAGAGAAAACAAUCUAUCAGAUGAAGUUAUUUAUGAGUUUGAGUUGAUCAAGAGGAAACCUCAUGAUGUGUUACAAGUCACAGCUUCUCACACAGUAAAUUUAGGAUUUUUCUUCGUUCAUAACAGUUCCUUCUUAUUUAUAUGAUAGGUCCUUACUGAUACAGUUGUCAACAAGCUGAGAAUGAAACAGGAAUCAGACCUGGUUCACAAGAUUGGGAACCCGUCGUUCUCCGUAAGAAAGCCCACACCGCUGCUGCCAGAAAAGAUGACAAAGUUGUCAAUGCUGCUCGCGGUGCCGGUGCCGAUAUCAAAACCAUGAAGAAAAUGAUGUUGCGACAAACAAAGCUUCCUCUAGCAGCACUUCAUUGAACACUAAGAGGCUUGAUGAAUAUAUAGAGAAUUUAGUUAAUGAUCAGGUCCCAACUGAACUCAAGAAAGCUAUAAUGCAAACUAGGAUGGACAAGAAGCUUACUCAGGCACAACUUGCUCAAAUUAUCAGUGAGAAGCCUCAAGUGAUCCAGGAGUACGAGUCGGGGAAAGCCAUUCCAAAUCAGAUGAUAAUUGGCAAGUUGGAGAGAGUUCUUGGUGCCAAACUCCCUGGGAAGAAAUGAGACAGCUGAUUUGAUGGUUGUGUAUGUAGUUGGAUCUAUUUUACACUGUUGAAGCUAAUCUGACGGCUGUUAUGUAGUUGGGUUUAUAUAUUUCACUAUCCUUGGUUGUUUGCUUUUGCAUGUAUGUGUGCCUGAAGCUUUCACCUGUUCAAAACUUAAUGUUGCAGUGACGUAUUUCUUUUAUCAACCAAUUGAUGCUUCAAGUAUUUCUUUUAUUAAUGCAAUAUUAUCGUUUUACUUUGUGAUCCAUAUGAGAACUUUAUUUAAUCUUCCAGUUAUGUAUAUAUUGAUUUUGUGUUUUGCUGUAAACAAUUAAUCAUAGUGCAGAACCUAGCAAAACUUGGGGAUUAAUUUGCUGAUAUUGAAGCUAAUUUAAUCAAUCGUCUUGCUUAAAUGGAAUAAGAAUGAUGUAGUACUCUUCAAAAUAUCAUAAUUGACAAUAACAACGUGCAUACUAUCUAUGAGUUUCUAAUAAUCAUUAAAAAAACUGUUAAUUCAAUAAGGGUUAAUGGUGCUUUACCCCCUGUAAUAUAGGUCAUUUUUUGUUUCCCCCCUGUAAAAUAUUUUUUUUGAUUUACCCCCUGUAAAUUUUUUUUUUUUUUGAAUACCCCCUAAUAGGUCAUAAAAAAACAAAAAAAUUCUGCAAAAAAAAAAUAGUCGUUUUUUUAUGACCUAUUAGAGGGUAUUCCAAAAAAAAUAUAUUUUACAGGGAGUAAAUCAAAAAAAAUAUUUUAGAGGGGGAAAACAAAAAAUGACCUAUAUUACAGGGGGUAAAGCACCAUUAACCCAUUCAAUAAUUAACAUUUAAAUACAACCUCAUAUAUAUCUGGGUACUAGGUUGCAAGAUGGAGGCUGUCCGGUUUACAUGCAUAUGAUUUCAAUGAUAUACUUUUCAAAUCCGCAUCAUCAUUAUCACAUGUUGAGCGUAGUUAGUGGUGCUAAUAUGGAGCUGCAACUUGCGAUUAUGGAGAGGUACAAAAGAAAGUACAACUACUAUGGGCCACCAAACCAGUGUUUUCUUGCAGCAGUGGCACACAAAAAUGUUAUGACUCGAGACAGACCCUGCAUAAGAAUUCUAGCAAUAUGGUUUAAUGGAAGAAAAAAAUACAAGCUACUAAAAUGAACUGUAAUGUGGAUUAUUUGUUCAUAAUUUUAUUCUUAUGGGAAUGAUACGAGUUUGCUUACCUAAAAAAAAUCCAGUUUCUCAAAGUAGGAUGAAUCCCUAUUCUUCAUAUUUAAUACUUCUCUUACAUUCAUGAAAAAAUCUUACAUCAUUCAAAUAAAGUGUAUAGAAAAAAUUGAAUAUAUCUUUAACUUGAUGUAAAAUAGAAGUGUUUAUUUCAUUUGUUAUUUUUGUUGUUCUUUUUAGUUCUCACAAGCUUGAAGAAUAGGCUUUGGUAAAGAAAGGUCAUUACGAUUGAAACAAAUUUAAAGAAACAAAAAUCAUAUUUAUAUUAUGAGAGACCCGAUCAUAGAUAUCAUGUGUUAGUUGUAGAUUGGAUCAAUCUUUCUAAUGAAGAACAAGGAUGCCAUCUAUGAGUAGUUGUUUGGUGAGAUCCUAUUUUAAAGUGAAAAAUUGGAUAGCCUCUGCAGUUUUACCUUAAAUUUUAGUUAAUUUUUACCUCUGAAAAAUAUUUGAGUUUUAAUAUUGGAUGUUUGAAAAAUAUUUGAAUUUUUGGAUCAAAAUAUUUGAGUUUUAAUAUUGGAUCCUUUCAAGUUUUUAAAAAGGCAAUUUCCUUUUGGCAGUCUCAUUUGCGAUGACUAUCAACAAAAGUCAAGGACAGUCACUCAAACACGAUGGUGUAUACCUCCCAACUCCUGUCUUCUCACAUGGACAAUUACAUGUGGUUGUUUCCAAAGUUACAUCCAGAGAAUGGUUGAAGAUACUGAUAAUUGAUGAAGAUGGUGAAGAUACGGAUGAGACGUCUAACAUAGUAUACGAAGAAGUAUUUCAAAAUGUUUGAUAUGAAUUGAUCUAUUGUAUGUUGUUUUAAGAAACUCAAAUAAUUCUUAGUGUCCUAUGUAAUACCGUUGUGACAAAAUUUUCAAAGAACUACUCUACAUAUAGGAAAUUUAGUUAUCAUUCAAUUAUAUAUGAAAUCGUUUAGCUUAUAAGACCCAUGCGGCGCACGGGUCGACGUUCUAGUUAACGCUAGUUUUCAAUUGUUUAUUGAUAUGUAUUAACUAUUUAUUAUCUAAUAAAAUAUUAUGCUAGCAACAUUCUUUUUAACACUCUCUACUAGUCACUCUUUUAUUAGAUAAAUGUUAGAGAGUUCAUGAGGGGGAGGGGAAGGAGAUGGUUCUAGUAACUCAAAAUCAUAAUGAUUUUAUGGCUACUUAAUGUUGGCAUCUGUUUGGUUAUCUUUAUUUUUUAUUUUAUGGAUUGUUAUAAAGAUUUCUCUUUUCUUUCCUGGAAUAUUCGUGGUGCUUUAGGUAAAAGUUCUAGACGCCAUGUUCGUGAGAUUAUUAGAGGUUAUCAUCCCACCCUUUGUUUUACCUUUGAAACUCAUGGUGCUUUUCAAAAAGUGGAAAAAUUUUGGGAUUCUUUAGGAUAUCAUCCUUUAUUUUUUCAAGAGGCUAGAGGUCAUGCCGGAGGGAUUUGGAUUUUAUCUUGCACUAAUGAAUUUACCUUUACUCUUAUUCAUAAUAUGCAUCAAGCUAUCACCUUUUGCAUCUCUAAGGGAAUGGUUACUUGGUAUAUGCUUCUCCUACUUAAAAAACUUGAUAGAUGUCUAGCAGAUGUAGAUUGGCGGCUAGCUUUUCCUCAUUCUCUAGCUGAGUUGUUACCUACUCAUGACUCUGAUCAUAACCCUAUUUUGGUGAGUUGUAUGAAGGCAGCGAGUAGGAGGUCUAAGAUUCUUCAUUUUCAAGCAGCUUGGCUUCAUCAUCCAGACUAUAAACCUUUAGUUCAAUCUACUUGGAGUAACGUUGUUGGUAAUGUGAUCUCUAAGCUUCAAGCGGUCCAAAAGUCUUCAGAAAGAUUUAAUUCUGAUAUCUUUGGUAACAUUUUUAAAAAUAAAAGACAAUUGGAGGUUAGGAUUAAAGGAGUGCAUCAACAACUUGAUUAUUGUCAGUCUUCUGAUCUUAUCAAUUUUAAAAGACAUUUGAAAAAUGAGUAUAACAAGUCUUGGCUCAAGAGGAUAUGUUGUGGUAUCAAAAGUCGAGAGAGAAUUGGGUUAAAUUUGGAAAUAAGAAUACAAAAAUAUUUCAUGUCCAAAUCGUCAUUCGCCGAAGGAGAAAUAAGGUGGUUGGCUUGAAUAUUGAUGGUAUUUGGUGCACUAAUGAAGAUUCUUUAAGAAGGGAAGCUUUAUCUUACUUUAGGAGUUUAUUUCAAGAGGGAGGAUCAACCAGUCCUGCAAGCCUCCACUUUUCUCACUUUCCUCAUAUUAGUAUUGAUCUUUACGACUCUCUUUGCCUGAACCCAAGUCUUGAAGAGGUCAAGUCUGCUCUUUUCUCAAUGAAUUCUUAUAAGGCUCCUGGUCCAGAUGGGUUCCAACCUAUUUUCUUCAAAACAUUUUGGAAUAUCGUUUCCUCAGAAGUUCAUAACUUGGUUUCCACUGCUUUUCAAUCAGGUACCAUCGAUCCAAAAUUGACUGAGACUAUUAUUGUUCCUAUUCCUAAAAUUGAUGAUCCUAUGUCUUUGAAAGAUUUUAGGCCUAUUAGCCUUUGCAAUGUUAUGCUUAAAAUUAUUUCUAAGGUGCUAGUGGGGAGGAUUAGACCUCAUUUAAAUAGUCUUAUCAGCCCUUUUCAAAGUAGUUUUAUUCCUAAACGAGGCACGACUGAUAAUGUUAUUAUCGCACACGAAAUAGUUCAUAGCAUAAAUAAAAAGAAAGGGAAAAAAGGUUAUCUUUUGUUCAAAAUUGACUUUGAAAAAGCUUAUUAUGAACUGUAUAACCUCUUCUACUUUAUCUUUGAAGUGGAACAACGAAAAACUAGAGAGUUUUAUUCCUCAAAGAGGCUUAAGGCAAGGGGAUCCUAUCUCUCCUUAUCUUUUUUUCCUUUGCAUGGAAAAACUUUCUAUGUUAAUUCAGGAGAAGGUUCAAUCUAAUGAAUAGCAUCCGAUCAAAAUCUCCAAUAAUGGUCCAACUAUCUCUCAUUUAUUUUUUUGUAGAUGACUGUCUUUUGUUUACUCAAGCUAGAAUAGUGAAAGAGGUGUGAGAGUUUUUGUCAUGCUUCUGGGUUGAAAGUUAAUAUUCAGAAAUCUAGAUUCAUGUCUUCUGCUAAUAUCUCCAGAGACAAAGUGAAUAAAUUUUCUUCUAUCGUUCAUUUUACUCAUUAUACUCAAUUAGGCAAGUACCUUGGUUUCCCUAUGUUAUCCGGUAGGAUAAAAAAUACUGACUUUACUUAUAUCAAUGGAUCAAGUCAAUAGAAGAUUGGAUGGUUGGAAGACAAAACUCCUUAGCCGAGCAGGGAGGGUGACAUAGGCCCAAUCUGUGGUCUCUGCUCUUCCUACCUACUCUAUGCAGAAUUCAUGGAUUGUUGAAGGGGUGUGUAACCAAAUAGAUGCUUCUAUUAGACAAUUUAUUUGGGGAAGGAAGCAUAGUCAUUGGGUGAAUUGGAAGAUGAUUACACAACCUAAGUCUAGAGGGGGUCUUGGAAUUCGGAAAGCUUGUGCUUCAAAUAUAUCUAUUCUAGGCAAACAUGUUUGGGAGUUGAUCCAUAAUCCUGAUAAGCUUUAGGUCAACCUUCCUUCUUCUAAAUAUCUUCAUGGCAUCUCUGUUUUAGAGGUGACAAAUUAUCAGGGUUCUUCUUGUGUUUGGAAGGCUAUUACCAAGACAGUUGAAGUUUUGAAAUCCGGUUUCAAGACUAGAAUUGGAAGAGGAGAGGUUUCUCUUUUGUAUGACAAAUGGUUAGAGGAUGAUUAUCUUUGUAAUCUUGUACCUUAUGUCCACAUUAGUAAAACUAAUUUGAGACUGAGGGACAUUUACCAGCACGGCCGCUGGAAUUUCUCUCAUCUCACAACUCAGGUACCUCUCAAUAUUCAACUCCAAAUUCAAAGUAUCUUCAUCGACGAGUCUUCCCAAGACAUCAAGAUUUGGACUCAUUCCCCAAUAGUUAUGUACUCUGUUAAGAUUGGUUAUCAUUGGUUGACUUCAAACUCUCUUUCUUUUGCAGAUCAGACUCAGCCGAAAACAUGGCAAUGGAUUUGGAAGCUCCACCUCCCAGAGAAUCUGAAGCAUUUUAUUUGGUUGGCUAUGCAUGGUAACCUUCCAACGAAUGCAUUUCGGGCUGAUAGACAUUUAACCUCAGAUUCAUCAUGCAAGAGAUGUGGAGCAGUGGCGGAGCCCUUCAUGGGAAAAAUUAAAAAAUUAAUGAUUAUAGGUCUAUUUUGCGAGAUUUUAUGCAAUUUUGUGUCAGUUUUAUGUUUUGGUUGAUCCAAAUUCCUGCAAAGUGAUGUAGUGGCCCACCCGAAAAUUUAAAUAAUUCAAUUAUAGGUCUAUUUUGCGAGAUUUUAUACAAUUUUAUGUCGGUUUUAGGUUUCGGUUGAUCCAAAUUCCCACAAAUUGGUGUAGUGGCCCACCCGAAAAUUUAAAUAAUUCAAUUAUAGGUCUAAUUUGCGAGACUUUAAACAAUUUUUUAAUAGUUAAUUUUAGUGGCCCACCCUGACAUUUUUUUCUGGCUCUGCCACUGAUGUGGAGCUAGUAUUGAGUCACUACUUCUUCACACUUUUAGAGAUUGCCCUCUCUCUUUGGCGAUCUGCGAUGCCUUGUUUUUCAACAAAGAUACAAAUUUCAAUUCUCAGGAUUUCAAUUGGUGGUUCAAACAUUAUGCCCUUGCUCCUAAUGGUAAUAUCUUCGUUAUUACAUGUUAGGUCUUAUGGAAAGCACGAAAUCAUAAGGUUUUCAAUGGAAAUGAUUGGGUAAAUUGGGUUUGUCUUAGCCAUAUUUAUUCUCUUCAUUCAGAUGUGGUGGCGCACCUUUCUAAUGAUGUCAUUCAGAAGCCCAUUAGACAGGUUAAAUGGAUUCCUCAUUUGGAUAAUAUUAUCAAAGUUAAUGUUGACGGUAGUUCUCUUUCUAAUCCUGAAAGAUCAGGUUUUGGAGGUCUUAUUAGAAACAAUAAUGGUGAUUGGUUGCUGGGUUUUUUUGGAUUUUGUGGUAUUACUUCUUGCUUGGCGGCCGAAUUGUAUGUCAUUUUUCAUGGCCUUCGUAUUGCGUAUGGUGCGGGCUACAUGAACAUUAUUCUUGAGUCAGAUUCUAGGAUGGCUCUUGAUUUAAUCAUGUCGGAUGUCCAAUCUCAUCAUCCUCAUGCUCCUCUGAUUAGUCAGAUUGUCCAACUGCAACAUCGAGAUUGGAUUGUUAAUUUUCAUCAUACCCUCCGUCAAGGCAACGAGUGUGCGGAUUGACUUGCUAAGCAUGGUGCUUCUUCUUCGGAUGCUCUAAAGUAUUGGAUUGUUUGCCCUCCUCAACUGCAUCAUUUCCUUCUGAAUGAUGCUCUUGGAGUUGCUCGCUUAAGAUUGUAAUUUGGUUUUGUUUUUUAUCGUUUCUUCUUGAUCAAAAAAAAAAAAGGUAAAUGUUAGAGAGUGUAAAUAUUGAAAAGAGUGUUAAAAAGAGAAUCUUCAUAUCAUUCUUUGUGCUAUAAGUUUCUUUCCCAACAAAACAUCAACACGUAACAAACAUAAAAAAGAGUAAAAAAAACAAAUUUUGGCACAAUAGACAUCAUGUAUGAACAAAAAAAAUUGGCACAUCAAUCAUCAUCUCUAAACAAAACAAUUUAAUUAUAACUUUUGGAGAAAUCAAUCUGUUCUAUUUACUAAUUUGAGCAUGACAACACAAAACAUCUCAUUUUGGAAGCGCAAUAAAAACAAUACUCUUUGGAACGUAAUCAUAGUCUAAAAAUAUAAGCCCUAAUCAUAUUUUUAUCUCACUCUUUUUUUUUAGGGAAAUAUCUCACUAUUUUAUCACAUUCACGAAGAUAGUUUUUUUAAGUGACACACUCUUUGCAAUUUUGGUUACAAUCCCAAUUUUUGGCCAAAAAUGUGGUGGUUGUGACAAGUUUUUAAGUGACAUGACAUUAAGCAUGAGGAUUUGGCAAAAAUAAAGUAUGAAAAGAAGUUCUGAAUCCUAAUUUCUAAAUCUCUUGAGUAUGAGAAUUUUAAACAAAGAAGAAUCAAGGACGAAGAGAGUAACAGAAGGAUAAAUGCAUUUUUGAAGGACCAAAAAAAUUGUCACAUCACCACUUUUGGGACAAAAAGUCUAGGUUGAUACCAAAAAUUACAACAAGGGUGAUACUUUUUUUUGAAAGAACAAGGGUGAUACUUGAAGACCAAAAAGUUCGAAUUUAAAAAAUGAACUAUUUUCGUGAAUGAUAAAAUACGGAACCAAAAGUGCGAUGACCAAGCCAAAGUGUAUUUUGCAUUUCAUUUUGAAGUCGUGUUGUACUUACAGUUCAACUCUACUCAUAUGAUAACACACACAAUAAUACACAGCAGCUAGAAAAUGCAUUUUUACAUAAGUAGGAAAUUUUAUGUAUUAUUUAGAGUUACCAGGAGAAGAAAAAAAAAGAGAAAACAUGCAUCAUCAUAUAUAUAAUUUAUGCUUCUAAAAUUAGAGAAAAUGCACAAUAGUUGCAGUAUCUUUGUGAUAACUAUAAUUAGAAUUAGAGAAACCUGACAGCGAAGAACGAGACCAAUAAUUCAUAAAGGAAAAAUAUUAAUUCCACAUUCCAUUACAAUUGAAAGCUAGUGAUAUAGGGAUUAGGGAUGUCAAUGGGGCGGAUCGGGGGCGAGGGGAUACUUCCUCGAUCCCCACCCCACCGGUGAAUCUGUUUCCCGUCCCCGUCCCGGGGGAAUAUUUUCCCAUCCCCGCGGAUCCCAACGUUUUUAUUUUCCUUCCAAAUUAAAGCACUGUACAGUUCCUUUCUUGGUCAAGAUAAUGAAAAAUAGCUAAACACAUACAAACAUGCAUACAUACUCCAUGCUAAACGGAUCUAAUAAAAUAUCAAAAGAAAACAAAGAGAAUUAAUAGAAAAAGUUGCAUUACUUAAUACAGUCACAUUACUAGUAGCAAAAGAGAAUUAAGUCAUAAUCUAGUAGCAAAACCACAAAAGUGGACAAGUCACAUUACUUAAUAUAAGUUACAUUUAAAUUCAAAAUAGGAAGGCAUUCAUUCACAACAAAAAAUCAUGUCUCUGCUUCCAACUUUUCCUUAUAAGAUCUUCUCCUCCAUCACCCUUCCACAAUUAUGUUUGACUCAUUUCCUACAACAAGUAAACAUAUAGUCAUAUCUUUUUCUGUCAUAAGCAUAACUACUUCACAAAAAUACUUUAAAAACAUGAAAGUAGUCAACAAUAAUAAUAUACCUCAUCAUCAUCAAUAUCCUCAUCAACACAUUCAAAAGAAGCCAUUAUCUUUGAAUAACCUAAGAAAAAAAUAGCUAAAUUAUAAGUAUGGUUAUAAAAGUAAAAAUGAUAAAAAAGAAGAAGAUGAAUUUAACAUUAAAUAUACUACCUUGCAUUUCUGUUCGGAACCAAUUUUGGCUGCACAUCAAAGCCUCUAAUGGUUGAAAAAGCCUCUAAUUUUCUUCAACCUACUGCAUUCUGGAGUUAUAACGUUAUAUUCACAUGUGAAAAAGCCGUCCGCUCCUACCCAAUUCAGUCCCUGACAAAAAGUAAUACCCAAGUUAGUGCUGAUAUUUUUAGAAGAGGCCCAAUUUAGUCCGUGACUCAUUGCAACAAAGGGACUAGUUUCUCACUUGCAUGAAAAUGUCAGGAACAGCAUAUUGUCAUAUAUACAUCUUAUCAUAUAAUUGCAUUCACUUAUCUAGAAGAUGGAUAAAUGAAGAGCUUGUGAAGAUACUUAUUUACAAAGAACAUAUUAGUUAGAAAAUCUCAGUCAGUUAAAUUACAUUUCUAUUUUUCUUGUUCUGUAACUAGUUGGAAAGUUUAUUCUGGUCUAACAACUGAAAAGUUUAUUCUGGUCUAACAACUAAAUUAAUCAUAAUAAAACUAUAUCAUAGUCACGUUUGGAAAGUAGAAACCUUUUGAUGCAAGAUAACUUACAUCGUAACGAGGUCGGAUCCACUCUGGAGGUGGCCAGAACAAGUUGGAAUAUUCAGGAUAAUCGGACAAAAGCGAAUGCCGACCUAGAUCCAAGUCCAAAACAUAUUCCUUACAUUCAGAUUCAAGUGGCCUAUGUGAUUCAAAGAUAUAAUUAUUAAAGAUGACAGAAUUCCCUUUGGCAACACACAAAUCUGAAGCACAAGCAGAAAACGAACAUACCAACCCCAACCCCAAGAACAAAACCCUAUCUCCUAAACUCGUCAACUUCACCCACUUCUUCUCCUUCUCAUUAAGCUUAAACAAAUCAAUCCUUACACAAUCAUUAUGAUCGGGAUUACAAAGAUCAGUAAAAAGACAAUUAUAAACAUCCGCUAACAACAAAUCCCCCUCGCUCUCCACUAAGAAUUUCAUGUCCCCGCCGCCAAUCAAAGGUUCAGCCACUAAUUGGACACUUGAAUCCGGUCCAACCACAACCGUCUUACCAAUUUUGUCGACUGCGUAAGAUUGCCCUUUAAAGAGGCAGAUGUCUCCGAAUUUCGUUGACAUGUCAGGUAUCACAUUCCAUUUCUCAUCACCACAUUUCAUAAGUAACGGCUGUGGGGGAGAGGUUAAUGUGCCAACAAUGAGAGGUUUUUUCCCAUGGCACGU
rnacentral:lncRNA from 1 species